GCCUCCUUAGCUCAGUUGGUAGAGCAUUCGACUCUUAAUCGACAGGUCUGCGGUUCAAACCCGCAAGGGGGCACCA
rnacentral:tRNA from 1 species